GUGCUCUCUUUGGCAGCAUGAGGACUAAAAUUUGAAUGAUACAGAAAAGAUUUGGUAUGGCCCCCAUGGAAGAAUGUAAAUUUAUGAAGUGUUCCAUAUUUUG
ensembl:snRNA predicted gene, 25839